ACGCGAUAAGUUGACCGCCUGGGGAGUACGGCCGCAAGGUUAAAACUCAAAUGAAUUGACGGGGUCCCGCACAAGCGGUGGAGUAUGUGGUUUAAUUCGAUGCAACGCGAAGAACCUUACCUGGCCUUGACAUAUCCGGAACCCUGCAGAGAUGCGGGGGUGCCUUCGGGAAUCGGAAUACAGGUGCUGCAUGGCUGUCGUCAGCUCGUGUCGUGAGAUGUUGGGUUAAGUCCCGCAACGAGCGCAACCCUUGUCCUUAGUUGCCAGCACGUAAUGGUGGUAACUCUAGGGAGACUGCCGGUGACAAACCGGAGGAAGGCGGGGACGACGUCAAGUCAUCAUGGCCCUUACGGCCAGGGGCUACACACGUACUACAAUGGUCGGUACAAAGGGUUGCUAAGCCGCGAGGCUCGCUAAUCUCAAAAACCG
rnacentral:rRNA from 1 species